GGGCCUACCGGACCAGACUAACACAGAUACAGAGUUAAGAUAAACAUUACAAAACAACAGAGAAUAAUAAGACGUGUGACACUAUCAAGGAAUGCUAUCCAGAUAAUUUUAACUCCACUAAUGUGACAGCUGUUGCCUAUUUACAUUACAGGAGGCUGCAUAUCCUGGAUGAAGCAGAACACAGUUCUAAAUUACAUAAAAUCCAUUAGGUGAGGACUUGGACAAUCUGAAUCAUGGUAAACCGAGAACCUUUUCUGACCAGAGCAGUCACAUGAUGAAAUGUCCA
rnacentral:lncRNA from 1 species